AAUCAACAACAACAAAUAAGACCUCAUUUUUUCUCGUUAUUCUUCUUCUUUUUCUUCUUCUUCUUCUCUUUUGU
rnacentral:ribozyme from 13 species